rnacentral:rRNA from 1 species
AGUGAACGCUGGCGGUAGGCCUAACACAUGCAAGUCGAACGGCAGCACAGUAAGAGCUUGCUCUUACGGGUGGCGAGUGGCGGACGGGUGAGGAAUACAUCGGAAUCUACUUUUUCGUGGGGGAUAACGUAGGGAAACUUACGCUAAUACCGCAUACGACCUACGGGUGAAAGCAGGGGAUCUUCGGACCUUGCGCGAUUGAAUGAGCCGAUGUCGGAUUAGCUAGUUGGCGGGGUAAAGGCCCACCAAGGCGACGAUCCGUAGCUGGUCUGAGAGGAUGAUCAGCCACACUGGGACGGAGACACGGCCCAGACUCGUACGGGAGGCAGGAGUGGGGAAUAUUGGACAAUGGGCGAAAGCCUGAUCCAGCAAUGCCGCGUGAGUGAUGAAGGCCUUAGGGUUGUAAAGCUCUUUUACCCGGGAUGAUAAUGACAGUACCGGGAGAAUAAGCUCCGGCUAACUCCGUG